rnacentral:misc_RNA from 1 species
UAUGAUGAUCCUUUAAGAAUUCUUAAAAUU